UACGUAGGUGGCAAGCGUUGUCCGGAUUAUUGGGUUUAAAGGGUGCGUAGGCGGUCUAUUAAGUCAGUGCUGAAAUAUCCCGGCUUAACCGGGAGGGUGGCAUUGAUACUGAUGGACUUGAGUAAAGUUGAGGUUGGCGGAAUGACGGUGUAGCGGUGAAAUGCUUAGAUAUCGUCAAGAACACCUAUUGCGAAGGCAGCUAACUAGCUAAACUGACGCUGAGGCACGAAAGUGUGGGGAUCAAACAGG
rnacentral:rRNA from 1 species